UACGGGGGGAGCAAGCGUUGUUCGGAUUUACUGGGCGUAAAGGCGCGUAGGCGGCCACCGCAAGUCGGUUGUGAAUCUCCGGGCUUAACCCGGAAGGUCAAUCGAUACUGCGGGGCUAGAGUGCAGAAGGGGCAACUGGAAUUCUCGGUGUAGCGGUGAAAUGCGUAGAUAUCGAGAGGAACACCUGCGGCGAAGGCGGGUUGCUGGGCUGACACGUGACGCUGAAGCGCGAAAGCUAGGGGAGCGAACGGG
rnacentral:rRNA from 1 species